UACGGAGGAUGCAAGCGUUAUCCGGAUUCAUUGGGUUUAAAGGGUGCGUAGGCGGAUUAAUAAGUCAGCGGUGAAAUCCUACAGCUUAACUGUAGAACUGCCAUUGAUACUGUUAGUCUUGAGUUUGGUUAAGGUAGGCGGAAUGUGUAAUGUAGCGGUGAAAUGCUUAGAUAUUACACAGAACACCAAUUGCGUAGGCAGCUUACUGGACCGACACUGACGCUGAGGCACGAAAGCGUGGGGAUCGAACAGGAUUAGAUACCCUGGUAGUCCACGCCGUAAACGAUGAUUACUCGCUGUUGGCGAUACACAGUCAGCGGCUAAGCAAAAGCAAUAAGUAAUCCACCUGGGGAGUACGGCCGCAAGGUUGAA
rnacentral:rRNA from 1 species